AUGGAGCCGGGAUUGCCGGCUCGGCCGACAGCUAUGGCGCCACUGCUGGAGUAUGAGCGGCAGCUGGUGCUGGAACUGCUGGACGCGGACGGGCUGGUAGUGUGCGCCCGCGGGCUCGGCGCGGACCGGCUCCUGUACCACUUCCUCCGGCUGCACUGCCACCCGGCGUGCCUGGUGCUGGUGCUCAACACUCAGCCGGCGGAGGAGGAGUACUUCAUCAAUCAGCUGAAGAUUGAAGGAGUCGAGCACCUCCCUCGCCGCGUAACAAAUGAAAUCACCAGUAACAGCCGCUAUGAGGUCUACACACAAGGAGGGGUAAUAUUUGCAACAAGUCGAAUACUUGUGGUUGACUUCUUGACCGAUAGAAUACCUUCAGAUUUAAUUACCGGUGUCUUGGUGUACAGAGCUCACAGGAUAAUCGAGUCUUGUCAAGAAGCCUUCAUCUUGCGCCUGUUCCGCCAGAAAAACAAGCGUGGCUUUAUCAAGGCCUUCACAGACAACGCUGUCGCCUUCGAUACUGGUUUUUGCCACGUGGAAAGAGUGAUGAGGAAUCUCUUCGUAGGGAAGCUCUACCUGUGGCCAAGGUUCCAUGUAGCUGUAAACUCGUUUUUAGAACAGCACAAACCUGAAGUUGUAGAAAUUCACGUUUCCAUGACGCCCGCCAUGCUUGCCAUUCAGACUGCCAUACUGGACAUUUUAAACGCGUGUCUGAAGGAGCUCAAAUGCCAUAACCCGUCCCUCGAAGUGGAAGAUUUGUCUCUAGAAAAUGCUAUCGGAAAACCCUUUGACAAGACAAUACGCCAUUAUCUGGAUCCUUUGUGGCACCAGCUUGGAGCCAAGACCAAGUCCCUGGUUCAGGACUUGAAGAUAUUACGAACUCUGCUGCAGUACCUCUCUCAGUAUGACUGUAUCACGUUCCUUAACCUUCUGGAAUCUCUGAGAGCCACAGAGAAGGCCUUUGGUCAGAAUUCAGGUUGGCUGUUUCUUGACUCCAGCACCUCAAUGUUUGUAAAUGCUCGAGCAAGGGUUUACCAUCUUCCAGAUGCCAAAAUGAACAAAAAAGGCAAAAUGUCUGAAAAAACAGAGAUUAAAGAAGAACAAGAAACAAAAAAGGAACUGGUCCUAGAAAGCAACCCCAAGUGGGAAGCAUUAACCGAAGUACUGAAAGAAAUCGAGGCAGAAAAUAAGGAGAGUGAAGCCCUUGGUGGUCCAGGUCAAGUACUCAUUUGUGCAAGCGAUGACCGCACGUGUUCCCAGCUGAGAGAGUACAUCACUAUUGGAGCAGAGGCCUUCUUGCUGAGGCUGUACAGGAAAACCUUCGAGAAGGAUAGCAAAGCCGAAGAAGUGUGGAUGAAAUUUCGACGUGAGGACAGCCCCAAGAGAAUGGCGAAAUCGAACAAAAGGCCUAAAGACCCCCAAAACAAACAGAGGGCUGCCACCAAAGAAAGGACUCUCAAAAAGAAAAGGCGAAGGUUAACCUUAACUCAGAUGAUGGGAAAGUCUGACGAACCGGAAGAGGAAGGGGAUGUCAAGGAAGGCGGGCCUAGGGACACAGGCAGUAGCCCAGAGAGCUCCUUAGAAGAAAUUAAGCACGAGGAAUUUGACUUGAACUUGUCCUCUGACGCCGCAUAUGGACUCCUGAAAGACCCGCUCACCAUCCUGCAUCCGCUCCUGGGCUGUAGUGACCCCUACGCUCUGACAAGGGUGCUCCAUGAAGUGGAGCCGAGAUACGUGGUUCUGUACGACGCCGAGCUCACGUUCGUUCGCCAGCUCGAGAUUUACAGGGCGAGCAGGCCUGGGAAGCCUCUGAGGGUCUACUUUCUGAUAUAUGGAGGUUCAACCGAGGAACAGCGCUAUCUCACUGCCUUGCGGAAAGAAAAAGAAGCUUUUGAGAAACUCAUAAGGGAGAAGGCCAGCAUGGUGGUCCCUGAAGGGAGGGAAGGUAGAGACGAAGCAAAUCUGGACCUGGUAAGAGGCCCCGCGGCUGCAGGUGCUGCCGUGGACACCCGUAAAGCAGGUGGCCAGGAACAGAACAGGACGCAGCAAACCAUAGUCGUGGAUGUGCGGGAGUUCCGCAGUGAGCUCCCCUCCCUGAUCCACCGUCGGGGCAUUGACAUUGAACCCGUGACGCUGGAGGUCGGAGACUACAUUCUGACCCCGGAGAUGUGCGUCGAGCGCAAGAGCAUCAGCGACCUGAUUGGCUCGUUAAACAACGGCCGCCUGUACGGCCAGUGCAUCUCCAUGGCCCGCUACUACAAGCGCCCCGUGCUGCUGAUCGAGUUUGACCCCGGGAAGCCCUUCUCCCUCACCUCCCGGGGCGCCCUCCAUCAGGAGAUCUCCAGCAACGACAUCAGCUCCAAACUCACCCUCCUCACGCUCCACUUCCCCAGACUCCGGAUUCUCUGGUGCCCCUCGCCUCACGCCACCGCCGAGCUGUUCGAGGAGCUGAAACAGAACAAGCCACAGCCCGAUGCGGCCACAGCCGUGGCCGUCACUGCAGAUUCGGAGGCGCUCCCCGAAUCAGAAAAGUAUAACCCCGGUCCCCAGGACUUCUUAUUAAAAAUGCCAGGGGUGAACGCCAAAAACUGUCGCACCUUGAUGCAGCACGUGAAGAACAUCGCGGAACUGGCCAGCCUGUCACAGGACAAGCUGGCGGGCAUUCUGGGCAAUGCCGGCAAUGCCAAGCAGCUCUAUGACUUCAUUCAUACCUCUUACGCAGAGGUCAUGUCCAAGGGAAAAAUGAAAAAGUGAACAGUGACGGCUGUCUUCUUGUCACAUGACUGUGCUUUUCAGCCACUCUCUGCCGGUAUUCCUAGGCCCUGAUUAAUUAUUAGCUCAGAAUUUCCCUGUCUUCCAGCACUUAAUGGCUGUGCCCUCUGCUUCCUGGCUCUGCGGACCAGAACCCAAGACUCCUCUUGGAACCCCAACGCUCUUCAUUGAGUGUUUGCGCUCAGAGUAGACACUGGACCAUGUAACGCAAAAUGGUCUUCACCUUCACAGAAGUUCUUUCAACUGACCUCUCCAAGCUGAACCGCUAAUGUCAACUUCUUGCUCUCCUGGUAUGUUAACCUACAUUAAUACUGCUAAAGUCGAUGUGGAUUUCAAACUCGAUACAGGGUACCACAAGAAUGAAUUGAGGGGUAUCAGGGAACCAUAUUGUUCUAUGAAAUUCUGUACAGUGAUCUGAGGAACAUAGAAGAGGACAGGAAACAGAAGUUAAAGGUGGAAUAAAGGAUCAGGCUUCUAAAUGUUUCCAAGGGCUAAAUAGCUACCCCGGAGACUAGAAAACAAGAUGUCAGGUACAGAUGUUAAUUUUCACUUCUGUACCCGUGUAUUUAAGAGUCCAGUCCAAGCACAUUAACAUCGAUACAGCGCCUCAAAAGGAUGGUUAUUACAAUUUUUUUACCCUCGUCUAGCACUUCUGCUUGUGGUGUAUAGUUCCUGGUUUUUCUUGUAGAAUUCCACCUGGCUUAUAUUGUUCUUUCCCUAUGUAAAAGGCAGAUGGAACAUAGCACAUCUUUUGAUAUAGGUUUCACUCCAGUUUAAACUUUCAGAAAUAAGCUCUGUUCUUAAAGCCACCAUAAAUAGCCCUUGUCGUCUCGUACAACGUGGAGAACACUCUUGGUUGUAUUUAGAGGGCCGGUGUCUCUGGCUCUUGGAGUCUGUUAUCUGCUGUUGUAUGCACUAGACAUUUGAAGAUGUGCACUGUCUCGUGUGUACUUGAAUUAUGAAUGGUAGUUUCUAAUGAACUCGAAAAUGCUCAUUAUAGAUGCAAGGCUCUCACUACCACUUCCCCUUCCAAGUAAAUAAAUAUAUUUUAAUGCAUCUGUAGUUGUGGAAAACCUUCAAUACAACCUUCGUGUAUUGACUUUUGCCACAUCCUUUUACAAAUUUUUAUAAUCUAAGAAUCUUUGGCAAAGGAACUAAUGCAUGAAUUUGCAGAAUUAAUGUAUCACUUUAUUGUCGAGCAUCAUAUUGUUACCUUUGCCUUUUUUCUUUCAGAAUAGUAAAUAUACCAGUUACUUAUGAACUUAUGCUUAGCUUUUUUUUAAAAAACCUGAGUUCAGCAUUUUUCUAUUUUACAAGCUUUUUGCUGAUUUGUAAAAAUCAGAGUGUAUGAAAGAUAAAUCGUUUCCAACUUUGUUUAAAUCAUAGUGCCUCUUGAUGUUCUUUAAAAAUUAUACAGCAAGAAAUCAUUUUAUAGUAAUAGUGGCCAUAAAUAAUGUCCUUUUGUCAAGAAGUUGCCACUUUUUUCAGUUUGGGGCUCAGGAGACCGUAUGUCUCCGUGCAAACUCCGAAUGCUGUUUCCCAGCCCAGUGGGACUGAAAAUAAUUGUCCGUUCAUCAACCCACUGGCACACAGAGGGUUAAGUCUAGAUUUGGUUGUGUUGAGAUAACAGAAUCUAGAAUGAAUGACUGGCCUUCAGCAGGAAAGUCUACGCUGAAGCAAAUCUGAAGAUGUGGUGGGGGAGAGAGGCAGACAUCAUUAGUCUUUGCUUUUGUUUUUCAAGCGUAAUUCGAUUUUCCUUUGGCUCAGAAAACUUCUUUAGGGAAAUUCUCUUCUCUUUUGUGUUCAGUUUAGCCCAGAAACGUCCUCUUAAAAACCAACAGUUUAGGAAAGUUCUUUACUCAGUCUCGAAUACAUUAAAACGCAUCCAGACUUCAACGUGCGUUGUCAUUUUUCUUCAUAAUUUUGCUUUCUGUUUUGGUUUAUGGCUACAUCCUGUCCAAUUCCGAACCCCAGUACUUCACUGUCUUUAUCCGCAGGUUUUUGGUAAGCCACCCUACUGCUGUUUUUUAAUUUAAGGGCAUGUAAGCCAAAAUUUGGAUGGGAGGGAAACAUAAUUGAUUUAUAUCAAUUUGUAACAAGAAUUGUAUGUGAGUAUGUUUUUAAUAAAAUCUGUAUUUAUUCAGUA